rnacentral:pre_miRNA from 1 species
AAGGAGCUCACAGUCUAUUGAGUUGCUUUUCUGACUUUCCCACUAGAUUGUGAGCUCCUGGA